UAUAUCCUGACGAUGUUUUUAAAGUUUUGUGCCAUGGAACAAUUUUUGUAUUCCAUCAGACAGCGUGAGCGCUAACCCACAGACCUUCUGACCUCUUGAUACAUAGAGCCCAGCUAGACAAACACUAAACAUAAGACACGAGUUUGAGGAGCAGCAUCAUUUCCUGCAUCUAGAGGAAGCCGCCCGGCCGACUGCCCCCUCUGAUGAGGCGGAGGUGAAGUUGGUAAUAAAAUGGCUGAGAAAAUUGAACACCUAGCGAAGAUGAUGAACUCCCUGACCAACACCAUUAGAGAGGUGGAGCAGGACAUAAAGCCUAAUGAUCUGGCCUUUCAAAAGGUACAGAGAAAGACUUCCUUUAUGAGAACACAUUCUAAAAACAUUACGGAUCCUUUUUUCACGCCAGUGUGUUCUCUCUCUAGGUUUACAAGAACAUUCAAGCAAGGUGCAUUAAAGUUUCCGUCGUAUGUCAUCUACUUUUAAGUCAUUAUAAUAUUCAUACACCACUGGGCAAUCUGAGGGUCAAGGACAUGGUGGUGUUCUCAGAUUAAUAGAUGCUCCAAGUACAACACUUGAAAGUCCCCCCCCCACCAUUGACUCCGAGAACCCUUCUGCACCCAGGCUCUCAGAUAACCUUGACCAGCUGGUGCUUCAACAGAGAGGAUCUUCACACAGCCAACAGCCCCGGACGGCUGUGACCUGUCCCUUAUGGACAGGUGGGAGCACAGUGCCGGGCACCAUGCCCUGGACCCAUCUCCUUCUUGAACAGGAAGCACCGGAAGGUCUGACUUUGCCCUGGCUAUGACGGGAGAAGUGUCCUUCUACGACCCAUCUGACACGUCACGCAUCUAUAAAUUCCGGAACAUAGUUACAAGAAACCAUGUUGCCCUACUUUAUUCCCGGUGUGAGUGACAGCAGGUGCAAUGCUGAGUCACUGAAGAUAUGACCUGAAAACGUUUCAGUGGGUGAUGGCGUGACGGCAUUUGGAGAUGUCUACAUAAUCCUCAACAAAUAUAAUGUGUUUGCUAAUGCAUUGCAAAAUCUCCUCUCAACGCUAUUUAAUUACAUGUUCUAAAUGGUUACCAAUGGUAAUAACUACAAUGUUUAUAAAUUCAACUUGUUAACAAUUUUAUAACAAGUUUAGAAACAAGUUUAGAAACAAGUUUAGAAACACAAGAUGAAAUACUUUUAUUCUGGACUAGGUUUCCAAAUUUAUAUGCAACGACGGAAUAACUAGCAAUUAGUGAUUAAUAUAGUGUUCAAUGUCAACAAUGAGCCCGGUCAGCCAACCGAGAUGAAAUCUUAUUUUAGUGCUCUAUUCCUGAACUGAUAAUGCGUCAGUCAUGUGACCCCAUUAAAUAUCAAGUCCAUGCAUGGGACACAUAUCAGGCACUAUUAGUUUAUCCUGAUAUCCUCCCCAUUGUAAAUGUACCCAACCUUUGGCGCUCUGUGUGGUCCGCUUUGUCUGUACGUGACUGUGGCUGUGUGUGUGUCUUCCUGUCUGUGCACGUUAUACACUCAGCCAUUUCAACCUCAGGAUUCUCUGCUCUACUCUGUUAAGAACAACAAAAAAAGCCUUCCUGGUCUUGAUUGCACCGCUUCCUCCAAGCACAGUUCUGUAAGUUCCUGUGAGAUAUCCCAGAGUCAGAUGUUGCAGAUAUCUGUCCAAUAUCCUGCUUCUUCACUUCACACUGAGCUGAAGGCAGAGGCGAUCUGAUGUCGAAGACGAGAGACUCAUCCCACAUUCAUCGGUGUGGAGCAGAUUCUUCCAUGAUCCAGACCGCCUGUUUGUUUUUGUAUGAACUGUAAAGAUAUCCAGCCCUUCCACUAGGUGUGUACACUGUGGAUGUUUGUGUGUACAUGAUCCUAUUUUAGCACAGAACGGAUUAUAGAAUCAGAGGUGCUUCAUGCCCUUGACAGAACUUCACUACUGAAACCAACAAUGAAAGCCUUCCUGUACCUGCUGAUGCUGCUCCAUCUGUGCUCAGGUGGAGGGGUGGAUGAAUGGGGUCUUGGGACUUUCUCUCUGGCGUUUGACCUGUUGGCCAAAGGUACGUGUCUGUUAUGUGAGGUAUAUGAUGCACUAAUGAUUUUGUGAUGAGAGCAUAGUGGCUGAAUACUGUCAGCAUGGUUUUCUGGGUGCGGCACUGGGAGUGGGAUUGAGAUUAUCUGGCUACACAUGGUCUUCUCCGGUUUUACCUGUCUACAUUUCACAACAACUACCUGCAAUAGCCAUGCAUAGAUGGAGAAAGUAGACAUGUCUCUGCUGAGCGCCUUCGGAAGUUCAGAUGGGUGGAAUAGUUACUGAAACCUGGACACUGACACAUCUGAUACAUAACAUAGUGUGUAACAGUUUGUUGUCCUUUAAAACCCCACAGAAUUAGGCAUAUACGGCAGUACAUUCUGACUCAGGAACAGGUGUGGAGAAAUAUAAUUUACUGCCUGCCUUCAGCAAUGUUGAACGAAUGCAAUCUGUGGUAAACGGGGCGCCUUUAAAGUUUCUAUUUUUAUCUGCGUCAUGAAAGCUGAUCCCUAGUAAAAAAAAAAGAGCCUGAAGGAAUUGUUCCUGUAAAGUUCCUAGAAGAAAACCCCCACGAGACUUCAAUAGAAUAGAUUCCUAUAAAAAUCAAAAGAAGGAUAUAAAAAGUCAUAACUAAGCAACAAUAUCAAUGUUGUAGUUUCUGUGACCCCAAUUCAAUUCCAACAGUCACAAUAGUGACCAUUUACAGUAAAAUACAUAUCUUAGAGAAGAUAACUUGUCCUUAUCAGCCAAUUAAUAAAUUAUGCAUUAUAAAUGUGCAUAGUAUGACAUAUAUAGAUUUCUUAUGCUGUCAGUAUGUACAAAAUCAAUAAAAAUAUAAAAACAUAUAUUUCAAUUAAAUAAAAAUGACCUAUAAAACGAUAUCCUAUACAAGCAGAUAUUAUCAUGUGUAAAUGGCAACACAGCUAUUCUAAAAUGUCAUCAUGAUCAAGGUGAUGAUUUGUCUUUGCUACAAAAACAAAACCAACCCC